rnacentral:misc_RNA from 1 species
AACGCACAUUGCGCCCUUUGGCAUUCCGAGGGGCAUGCCCGUUCGAGCGUCAUUACACCACUCAAGCCUGGCUUGGUAUUGGGCGACCGGGUGCUCCCCGUCUGGGGGACCCGCGCCUCCAUAUGUUCUCGGCUGGACGGUCGGAAUCUCAGCGUUGUGCAAACGAUCCGCUGUGGGACCGGCCCGGACGUCGCCGUUAAACCCUCAUCACAGGUUGACCUCGGAUCGGGUAGGGAUACCCGCUGAACUUAA